AGUGAACGCUGGCGGUAGGCCUAACACAUGCAAGUCGAACGGCAGCGCAGUAAGAGCUUGCUCUUACGGGUGGCGAGUGGCGGACGGGUGAGGAAUACAUCGGAAUCUACUUUUUCGGGGGGGAUAACGUAGGGAAACUUACGCUAAUACCGCAUACGACCUACGGGUGAAAGCAGGGGAUCUUCGGACCUUGCGCGAUUGAAUGAGCCGAUGUCGGAUUAGCUAGUUGGCGGGGUAAAGGCCCACCAAGGCGACGAUCCGUAGCUGAUCUGAGAGGAUGAUCAGCCACACUGGAACUGAGACACGGUCCAGACUCCUACGGGAGGCAGCAGUGGGGAAUAUUGGACAAUGGGCGCAAGCCUGAUCCAGCCAUACCGCGUGGGCGAAGAAGGCCUUCGGGUUGUAAAGCCCUUUUGUUGGGAAAGAAAAGCAGCAGGUUAAUCCCCCGCUGUUCUGACGGUACCCAAAGAAUAAGCACCGGCUAACUUCGUG
rnacentral:rRNA from 1 species